GCUUAGAUAGCUCAGUCGGUAGAGCACGAGACUCUUAUUCUUAGGGUCACGGGUUCGAGUCCCACAUUGGGCA